rnacentral:rRNA from 1 species
UACGAAGGGGGCUAGCGUUGCUCGGAAUCACUGGGCGUAAAGGGUGCGUAGGCGGGUCUUUAAGUCAGGGGUGAAGUCCUGGAGCUCAACUCCAGAACUGCCUUUGAUACUGAAGAUCUUGAGUUCGGGAGAGGUGAGUGGAACUGCGAGUGUAGAGGUGAAAUUCGUAGAUAUUCGCAAGAACACCAGUGGCGAAGGCGGCUCACUGGCCCGGUACUGACGCUGAGGUGCGAAAGCGUGGGGAGCAAACAGG